rnacentral:siRNA from 1 species
UGUAUUGUAGCCUGCCACUUGAC